CGGCAGUGUUAGAAAGGCACGAAAGACCUUUUUCAGCGUUACUUGCUCUCACAGAUUCUCAGCGCCCUAGGAGAAUAAAGUCUAUAAAAACUGACUUCAGCCUGCUGUCUCCUUUGUGAAGAUAUUUGCUGCAGAGUCUGAAAAACAGUUUUGUUCCAUGACAUUGGACUUAGGGGAGAUACAAGUUUUUCAAGGUAGAAGAUGUAUGUGGUGACCUUAAAGGAUUGCUGUUUAGUGUCACUCAAGAUCUACUAAGCAUCAUUUUUUGGAUGACUGUGGCAAAAGGAUAUCUGUACAAAACCAGUUCCUUUCUGAAGUUUAUAGUUGGGGCCCUGUUUUCAGACAGAAGAAAAGCUCUUCAACUACACAGAGAGGAGAGAUCCUGCCACCAUCAACUGUAUCAGAGCAGCUGCACUCCACAGCCCCAGGAUGCUUUUGAAACUUCAGUCAACGUGAAUUGUACCCUCUGGAGAUGUGAACAAUCCAUGUCACUUUACAUGGUGACCUCACUCAUUUUGUAGAACUUGUGCUUUGCCUUUUGGUGGGUUGAAAGAAUAUGAAAUAAAUGGAAAUUCUCAGAAGUUGAAAGGUUUAUU
rnacentral:lncRNA from 1 species